UGUUUUCAAAUUAAAACACUGGAAAACCCCACAAUGGUCUUACUGUAGAAACAUACCAGGGAAAAUCUGUAGAAGUAGAUUUAAUGAAAUCCUUUGGCCUGAGAGAAACAAUGCAGCAUUAGUUUCCAUAAUGACUGCUCUUUUCUGAAUUCACUAGUGUUUAAACGUACCUCUGGGGCUCUGGAAACAGGAUCAAUACCCAACCUAAUGAAGUAACUGAAGUCUGCAUGUAGGAUGAGAUUUACCUCUAGAGUUGAAGAGCUGGCCAAAGGUCUCUUUUGUUUAGAUGGAACCAAGAGUUUUUUCUGACCCUCCACACUGUAUUAAUCUAACCUUGAGGAAAACCUUUCUGCAGUCUUCACAUUUCACAAGAGAUGGCUCCUGGAUAUUUGUCUUCCUGAAGUUUUGCUAUGCCACCUGUUACCUGAAUGUUUAAGUGCAUCAUGUUUCUCUUCCACAACAGCAGCUUGCAGUCUGCUAAGAAGGAGUAAGCAGUCUCAGUUUUCAAGAUGGUACAAGUAUUUUACUUGGUUCAGUUUCUAGAAAACGUAUGACAAGUAUGUCUUUUUGCCUCUCUUCUUUCUCCAUUCAAGAAGAGGGAAUAAUCAAACUGCUAGGAAUUUUCUCUGUGUUUUGUAAAUAUUCUAAAUGUUUUCUUCUAGUACAUAUUGAUAUCCAAUAAAAAUAAAUCAUUUUUAUAAAUAAUUAGGUACAUAUUCUGGAUACAGUUUUUUUCAAUUGAAUUUCAAAUUCAAUUUUUGCUUUAACAGUUGAGUAGAAUCAAAGACUCAUAGCAUAUUCCUAAGAUUGCCUUUAAAAAUCUACAAAUAGGAAAGUUAAAAGUUAGGGCACAAGCUUACUAUUUUUAUCUUAUAUCAGUUGCUUUACCCAUUUUUGAUAUGAUUUUUUAAUGAAAUUUCUAAGAGGCUGUUAAACGGUAGCUUCAGUGAUACAUAGAGUUGAAAAACAGGAAAUCAUUAAUAAAUAGCUGGAACUAUAAGAAAUAACAUUGUCCUGAGAAAAACACGAUUCCUCAUAAUAAAAUAUAAUUUAUUUAAAUUAUAACAUUGUUAGUUGAUACCAGCAGUGGAAAGAAAUGAUAGAACAUUGUUAAUACCUAUGUUUUGUUUCUCUUUAUCAAAGACACAAAAACACAUUAGCUACGCUAUUUCCGUGGUUCAGAUACAAAAUGUUAUGGAAUUUAUGGGGCAGAAAAUUAUGCAGUAAAAUGUUAGAAUUGUUGUCUUCUGCCUCCUGUGCUCAAAUCUGGUGCCAAGUUUUAGCUUUUAGUAAUCAAUUAGGCUUGAAAAGGCAUUAUUCGUAUUUCUCUGAUUGUUAUAUAGUUGAUUUCUACUAAUUCAUUUUCAAAUAAAUGCUGUUGUUCUUUCUUC